rnacentral:rRNA from 1 species
AACGCGAAGAACCUUACCUGGGUUUGACAUGCCAGGAUUAUCUCUAUGAAAGUAGAGUAGGCCCUUCGGGGUACAACUGGUACAGGUGCUGCAUGGCUGUCGUCAGCUCGUGUCGUGAGAUGUCGGGUUAAGUCCCUUAACGAGCGAAACCUUUGCCCUUAGUUACCAGCGGGUUAUGCCGGGGACUCUAAGGGGACUGCCGGUGUCAAACCGGAGGAAGGUGGAGAUGACGUCAAGUCCUCAUGGCCUUUACGCCCAGGGCCACACACGUGCUACAAUGCGGCGGAUAAAGCGAACCGAGAGCGCAAGCUGGUGGAAAUCGCACAAAUCGCCGCCCAGUUCAGAUCGGAGGCUGCAACUCGCCUCCGUGAAGUUGGAAUCGCUAGUAAUCGCGGAUCAGCUACGCCGCGGUGAAUGUGUUCCCGGGCCUUGUACACACCGGCUAC